GCCUCCGUUCCUCUCUCAUCUGAUCUGUGGCGCCUUCUCCAAGUCACGUCCUCGCUUCCUCCCAGCAGUUGGGGCAUCGGUGGGGAAGGACCUCCCCUCAAGUCAGCUGCUUAGCAUCUGUCACCUCGGUGGCCUGGCUCCCUGGAGGGCGCGCCUCGGUUUAAGGGGAGGGGAGGGAGCAAGGACUCUUCCCUCCCCCACCCCACCCCCAGCCCACUGCUGACCGACCCCUGGGAAGGCGGCUAAGCUCCUCCUUUGCAGUUCCUGUUGGCCCAAUCUGCCAUUAUGGCUUAUGAUGGAGGAUGUGAUGGAGGAUGGAGUCCUGAAUCUGGUCAUGACUGCGAAUGGCUGUGUGACCUUAGGCAAAUCACUGCACCUACCUGAACUUCCGUUUUCUUCCCUGUAAGGUGCUUUCCCACAACGUGGCCUGCUUGAAAUCCUCUUCAAAUUACAGUCAUAAUAUGUGGGUGAUAUUCUGCUAUGCACCCCAUUAGAAAAAUUUUCUAGUCAGGGCAACUGGCCCCUGCUAAAAUUUUUGGCAGGUAGAGAAGGUAUAAAGUCUCCAGGUCUAAGGCACAACUUUGCAGUUCUGAAGUCAAAUAUUUGGACCUUAUCAUAUCCAAAGGAACUGGAAGACUAAGGGGAAAAAAAUUAAACCCAUACUCUCCUUCCCACUGCCCAAGACCCUAAAAAGAGCUAACAGGCCUUGGGUAGCACAAUAUGGCAAGAUAACAUGACCUCUUUAUCAACUAAAAGGAAACCCAGGGCUGGAGAUUUUAGCUCAGUGAUUCUGAUGCCUGCCUUGCAAGCGCAAGGUCCCGAGUUCGAUCCUCAGUACCAAAAAAAAAAAGGGCAACAGGAUAUGCUACAGUAACUCUGUGAGAGACACUUGGGAGCUGCUCACUCAGCCCUGGAACAAAUGCUCAGUUAGCAGAACUUACAGCCCUGACAGUGUAAAAAUAUGAAAAGAAAGGAACUCUUUAACAGCCUGUGGGUCUCCCCUAAAAUUCCAUAGAAGAGAAACUCCUGAUGUGUUUACUUGCCUUCAAAAGUGGCAGUAACACAUUGCAGAGGCACCAGAAGGGUAUGGAUGAGGUGGCACAGGGUACAUCCAGCUACAGAAAAUGCUGCUCCAGCCCCUAGGAUCUGGAAGUGUCCUUAUCCCAGACUCGGCCCAAGGACUCUCAACCAGAUGAGAAACACACGCCAAGCAUUGGGACUCAGUCCUUUCAAAAUGCUUUACAGGUGACCAUUUUAAACUAAUGAGUUUUUUAUUGAUUUAAAAAAGAAAACAUGAUUGGACUAAAGACAUCGGCUCACUUGGAAAAUUUCAACAAAUUCUGCAGCAAUGAAUGGAAGCUUAACCCAGAGAGCUCGCACAUCUGGUAUUGUACCUCGGAGACGUGGUGCUGGUAAAAUCUUCCUCAUCUGCUUCCUUAUGGCCAACUUGGGAAGGACUGUAUACACGGGUGACUCUCAAAUCACAACUGCCUUUGCUGUGGAGGUAGCUGGCUUGGAUUCCUGGGUACACCAUUACCAACUCAAGCCUUGGGAGCUGGGGACAUUUCUACCUGUGACCCACUGCCUGAAUAUUCUUGUGAGCUG
rnacentral:lncRNA from 1 species